AGUGAACGCUGGCGGUAGGCCUAACACAUGCAAGUCGAACGGCAGCACAGUAAGAGCUUGCUCUUACGGGUGGCGAGUGGCGGACGGGUGAGGAAUACAUCGGAAUCUACUUUUUCGUGGGGGAUAACGUAGGGAAACUUACGCUAAUACCGCAUACGACCUACGGGUGAAAGCAGGGGAUCUUCGGACCUUGCGCGAUUGAAUGAGCCGAUGUCGGAUUAGCUAUUUGGCGGGGUAAAGGCCCACCAAGGCGACGAUCCGUAGCUGGUCUGAGAGGAUGAUCAGCCACACUGGAACUGAGACACGGUCCAGACUCCUACGGGAGGCAGCAGUGGGGAAUAUUGGACAAUGGGCGCAAGCCUGAUCCAGCCAUACCGCGUGGGUGAAGAAGGCCUUCGGGUUGUAAAGCCCUUUUGUUGGGAAAGAAAAGCAGCAGGUUAAUACCCCGCUGUUCUGACGGUACCCAAAGAAUAAGCACCGGCUAACUUCGCG
rnacentral:rRNA from 1 species